rnacentral:rRNA from 1 species
CCUACGGGAGACUGCAGUAGGGAAUAUUGCUCAAUGGGGGAAACCCUGAAGCAGCAACGCCGCGUGGAGGAUGAAGGUUUUAGGAUUGUAAACUCCUUUUGUUAGAGAAGAUAAUGACGGUAUCUCACGAAUAAGCACCGGCUAACUCCGUGCCAGCAGCCGCGGUAAUACGGAGGGUGCAAGCGUUACGCGGAAUCACUGGGCGUAAAGAGUGCGCAGGCGGGUUUGUAAGUCAGAUGUGAAAUCCUGUGGCUUAACUACAGAACUGCAUUUGAAACUAUUAGUCUAGAGUGUGGGAGAGGUAGGUGGAAUUCUUGGUGUAGGGGUAAAAUGCGUAGAUAUCAAGAGGAAUACUCAUUGCGAAGGCGACCUACUGGAACAUUACUGACGCUCAUGCACGAAAGCGUGGGGAGCAAACAGGAUUAGAUACCCGUGUAGUC